GAUGAACGCUGGCGGCGUGCCUAAUACAUGCAAGUCGAGCGAACGGACGAGAAGCUUGCUUCUCUGAUGUUAGCGGCGGACGGGUGAGUAACACGUGGAUAACCUACCUAUAAGACUGGGAUAACUUCGGGAAACCGGAGCUAAUACCGGAGAAUAUUUUGAACCGCAUGGUUCAAAAGUGAAAGACGGUCUUGCUGUCACUUAUAGAUGGAUCCGCGCUGCAUUAGCUAGUUGGUAAGGUAACGGCUUACCAAGGCAACGAUGCAUAGCCGACCUGAGAGGAUGAGCGGCCACACUGGAACUGAGACACGGUCCAGACUCCUACGGGAGGCAGUAGGGAAUCUUCCGCAAUGGGCGAAAGCCUGACGGAGCAACGCCGCGUGAGUGAUGAAGGUCUUCGGAUCGUAAAACUCUGUUAUUAGGGAAGAACAUAUGUGUAAGUAACUGUGCACAUCUUGACGGUACCUAAUCAGAAAGCCACGGCUAACUACGUG
rnacentral:rRNA from 1 species